rnacentral:rRNA from 1 species
GUAAGGAAUAUUGCGCAAUGGGCGAAAGCCUGACGCAGCGACGCCGCGUGGGGGAUGAAGGUCUUCGGAUUGUAAACCCCUUUCGGGAGGGAAGAUGGAGCGAGCAAUCGUUCGGACGGUACCUCCAGAAGCAGCCACGGCCAACUUCGUGCCAGCAGCCGCGGUAAUACGAAGGUGGCAAGCGUUGUUCGGAUUCACUGGGCGUACAGGGUGUGUAGGCGGUUUGGUAAGCCUUCUGUUAAAGCUUCGGGCCCAACCCGGAAAGCGCAGAGGGUACUGCCAGGCUAGAGGGUGGGAGAGGAGCGCGGAAUUCCCGGUGUAGCGGUGAAAUGCGUAGAGAUCGGGAGGAAGGCCGGUGGCGAAGGCGGCGCUCUGGAACAUACCUGACGCUGAGACACGAAAGCGUGGGGAGCAAACAGGAUUAGAAACCCUGGUAGUCC